rnacentral:rRNA from 1 species
ACUUUUUCGUAUGGUAGGCCAACAUCAGUUUCGAUUACUAUAAAAUGACUGGCGGAAUGUAGCUUCGAUUUCGGUUGAAGUGUUAUAGCCUCUGGUAGAUGUGGUGAUUGGGACUGAGGAUUGCAACGAAUAUCCUUUGGGCUAUCCGUCUGAUCUCUGAAAGUUGCUCAGGUGCCGAAAGCGUGCUUACGGUCAUCUAAGUUGACGGUCAAUAGGUUAGAACGUGAUUACAUUUGUUAAGGAUGUUGGCGUAAUGGCUUUAAACGA